UACGUAGGGUGCAAGCGUUGUCCGGAAUUAUUGGGCGUAAAGAGCUCGUAGGCGGUCUGUCGCGUCUGCUGUGAAAACUCAGGGCUUAACCCUGAGCUUGCAGUGGGUACGGGCAGACUAGAGUGCGGUAGGGGAGACUGGAAUUCCUGGUGUAGCGGUGAAAUGCGCAGAUAUCAGGGAGGAACACCGGUGGGCGAAGGCGGGUCUCUGGGCCGUAAGCUGACGC
rnacentral:rRNA from 1 species